rnacentral:miRNA from 1 species
UAUGUCCAUUACAGUUGCAUAC